AACGCUAGCUACAGGCUUAACACAUGCAAGUCGAGGGGCAGCAUGACCUAGCAAUAGGUUGAUGGCGACCGGCGCACGGGUGAGUAACACGUAUCCAACCUACCGGUUAUUCUGGGAUAGCCUUUCGAAAGAAAGAUUAAUACCGGAUAGUAUAACGAGAAGGCAUCUUUUUGUUAUUAAAGAAUUUCGAUAAUCGAUGGGGAUGCGUUCCAUUAGUUUGUUGGCGGGGUAACGGCCCACCAAGACAUCGAUGGAUAGGGGUUCUGAGAGGAAGGUCCCCCACAUUGGAACUGAGACACGGUCCAAACUCCUACGGGAGGCAGCAGUGAGGAAUAUUGGUCAAUGGACGAGAGUCUGAACCAGCCAAGUAGCGUGAAGGAUGACUGCCCUAUGGGUUGUAAACUUCUUUUAUAUGGGAAUAAAGUGAGCCACGUGUGGCUUUUUGUAUGUACCAUACGAAUAAGGAUCGGCUAACUCCGUGCCAGCAGCCGCGGUAAUACGGAGGAUCCGAGCGUUAUCCGGAUUUAUUGGGUUUAAAGGGAGCGUAGGCGGACUAUUAAGUCAGCUGUGAAAGUUUGCGGCUCAACCGUAAAAUUGCAGUUGAUACUGGUCGUCUUGAGUGCAGUAGAGGUAGGCGGAAUUCGUGGUGUAGCGGUGAAAUGCUUAGAUAUCACGAAGAACUCCGAUUG
rnacentral:rRNA from 1 species